UUGACCUCGGAUCAGGUAGGAAUACCCGCUGAACUUAAGCAUAUCUAA
rnacentral:rRNA from 2 species